ensembl:lncRNA
UUUUAAAAGGAGACAAGUAGUCUCUAGUUUUUAAAUCAUGCACCGAGGAGAAAUACAGGGUUGUGAUGGGUUGGAAGGGGGUUAACACAGAGGGGUUGGAAGGGGUAGGGUUAACACAGAGGGGUUGGAAGGGGGUAGGUUUAACCCAGAGGGGUUGGAAGGGGGUUAACCCAGAGGGGUUGGAAGGGGGUUAACCCAGAGGGGUUGGAAGGGGGUUAACACAGCGGGGUUGGAAGGGGCAGGGGUUAACACAGAGGGGUUGGAAGGGGUGGGGUUAACACAGAGGGGUUGGAAGGGGUGGGGUUAACACAGAGGGGUUGGAAGGGUGGGGUUAACACAGAGGGGUUGGAAGGAGUGGGGUUAACACAGAGGGGUUGGAAGGGGUGGGGUUAACAAAGAGGGGUUGGAAGGGGUAGGGUUAACACAGAGGGGUUGGAAGGGCUAGGGUUAACACAGAGGGGUUGGAAGGGCUAGGGUUAACACAGAGGGGUUGGAAGGGGUAGGGUUAACACAGAGGGGUUGGAAGGGGUAGGGUUAACACAGAGGGGUUGGAAGGGGUUAACCCAGAGGGUUGGAAGGGGGUUAACACAGCGGGGUUGGAAGGGGGUUAACACAGAGGGCUUGGAAGGGGUAGGGUUAACACAGAGGGCUUGGAAGGGUAGGGGGGCAGGGUUAACACAGAGGGGUUGGAAUGGGGGUUAACACAGAGG